GUUGCUUCGGGGGCGACCCCGCCGUUUCGGCGACGGCGCCCCCGGAGGUCAUCAAACACUGCAUCUUUGCGUCGGAGUCUUAAAGUAAAUUUAAACAAAACUUUCAACAACGGAUCUCUUGGUUCUGGCAUCGAUGAAGAACGCAGCGAAAUGCGAUAAGUAAUGUGAAUUGCAGAAUUCAGUGAAUCAUCGAAUCUUUGAACGCACAUUGCGCCCCGUGGUAUUCCGCGGGGCAUGCCUGUUCGAGCGUCAUUUCACCACUCAAGCCUAGCUUGGUAUUGGGCGUCGCGGUUCCSCGCGCCUUAAAGUCUCCGGCUGAGCAGUUCGUCUCUAAGCGUUGUGGCAUAUAUUUCGCUGAAGAGUUCGGACGGCUUUUGGCCGUUAAAUCUUUCUUAAGGGUKGACCUCGGAUCRGKAGGGAUMC
rnacentral:rRNA from 1 species